CCUACGGGAGGCAGCAGUGGGGAAUAUUGGGCAAUGGAGGAAACUCUGACCCAGCAACGCCGCGUGAAUGAUGAAGUUCUUCGGAUUGUAAAGUUCUUUUCUAAGGGAAGAAGAAAGUGACGGUACCUUAGGAAUAAGCCUCGGCCAACUACGUGCCAGCAGCCGCGGUAAUACGUAGGAGGCCAGCGUUAUUCGGAAUGACUGGGCGUAAAGGGGGCGUAGGUGGUUUGACAAGUUGGUAGCGUAACUCCGAGGCUUAACCUCGGCACUACUGCCAAAACUGUUGGACUCGAGUGCAGGAGGGGCAAAUGGAAUUCCUAGUGUAGCGGUGGAAUGCGUAGAUAUUAGGAGGAACACCAGUGGCGAAGGCGAUUUGCUGGACUGUAACUGACACUGAGGCACGAAAGCGUGGGGAGCAAACAGGAUUAGAUACCCCUGUAGUC
rnacentral:rRNA from 1 species